UAGGGAAUCUUCGGCAAUGGGGGCAACCCUGACCGAGCAACGCCGCGUGAGUGAAGAAGGUUUUCGGAUCGUAAAGCUCUGUUGUAAGUCAAGAACGAGUGUGAGAGUGGAAAGUUCACACUGUGACGGUAGCUUACCAGAAGGGGACGGCUAACUACGUGCCAGCAGCCGCGGUAAUACGUAGGUCCCGAGCGUUGUCCGGAUUUAUUGGGCGUAAAGCGAGCGCAGGCGGUUUGAUAAGUCUGAAGUUAAAGGCUGUGGCUCAACCAUAGUUCGCUUUGGAAACUGUCAAACUUGAGUGCAGAAGGGGAGAGUGGAAUUCCAUGUGUAGCGGUGAAAUGCGUAGAUAUAUGGAGGAACACCGGUGGCGAAAGCGGCUCUCUGGUCUGUAACUGACGCUGAGGCUCGAAAGCGUGGGGAGCGAACAGGAUUAGAUACCCUGGUAGUCCACGCCGUAAACGAUGAGUGCUAGGUGUUGGGUCCUUUCCGGGACUCAGUGCCGCAGCUAACGCAUUAAGCACUCCGCCUGGGGAGUACGACCGCAAGGUU
rnacentral:rRNA from 1 species